rnacentral:rRNA from 1 species
CAGUCGAACGACUCUGGUAUUGAUUGGUGCUUGCAUCAUGAUUUACAUUUGAGUGAGUGGCGAACUGGUGAGUAACACGUGGGAAACCUGCCCAGAAGCGGGGGAUAACACCUGGAAACAGAUGCUAAUACCGCAUAACAACUUGGACCGCAUGGUCCGAGCUUGAAAGAUGGCUUCGGCUAUCACUUUUGGAUGGUCCCGCGGCGUAUUAGCUAGAUGGUGAGGUAACGGCUCACCAUGGCAAUGAUACGUAGCCGACCUGAGAGGGUAAUCGGCCACAUUGGGACUGAGACACGGCCCAAACUCCUACGGGAGGCAGCAGUAGGGAAUCUUCCACAAUGGACGAAAGUCUGAUGGAGCAACGCCGCGUGAGUGAAGAAGGGUUUCGGCUCGUAAAACUCUGUUGUUAAAGAAGAACAUAUCUGAGAGUAACUGUUCAGGUAUUGACGGUAUUUAACCAGAAAGCCACGGCUAACUACGUGCCAGCAGCCGCGGUAAUACGUAGGUGGCAAGCGUUGUCCGGAUUUAUUGGGCGUAAAGCGAGCGCAGGCGGUUUUUUAAGUCUGAUGUGAAAGCCUUCGGCUCAACCGAAGAAGUGCAUCGGAAACUGGGAAACUUGAGUGCAGAAGAGGACAGUGGAACUCCAUGUGUAGCGGUGAAAUGCGUAGAUAUAUGGAAGAACACCAGUGGCGAAGGCGGCUGUCUGGUCUGUAACUGACGCUGAGGCUCGAAAGUAUGGGUAGCAAACAGGAUUAGAUACCCUGGUAGUCCAUACCGUAAACGAUGAAUGCUAAGUGUUGGAGGGUUUCCGCCCUUCAGUGCUGCAGCUAACGCAUUAAGCAUUCCGCCUGGGGAGUACGGCCGCAAGGCUGAAACUCAAAGGAAUUGACGGGGGCCCGCACAAGCGGUGGAGCAUGUGGUUUAAUUCGAAGCUACGCGAAGAACCUUACCAGGUCUUGACAUACUAUGCAAAUCUAAGAGAUUAGACGUUCCCUUCGGGGACAUGGAUACAGGUGGUGCAUGGUUGUCGUCAGCUCGUGUCGUGAGAUGUUGGGUUAAGUCCCGCAACGAGCGCAACCCUUAUUAUCAGUUGCCAGCAUUAAGUUGGGCACUCUGGUGAGACUGCCGGUGACAAACCGGAGGAAGGUGGGGAUGACGUCAAAUCAUCAUGCCCCUUAUGACCUGGGCUACACACGUGCUACAAUGGAUGGUACAACGAGUUGCGAACUCGCGAGAGUAAGCUAAUCUCUUAAAGCCAUUCUCAGUUCGGAUUGUAGGCUGCAACUCGCCUACAUGAAGUCGGAAUCGCUAGUAAUCGCGGAUCAGCAUGCCGCGGUGAAUACGUUCCCGGGCCUUGUACACACCGCCCGUCACACCAUGAGAGUU